UUCUGAAACUAUCCGCCGCCAUUGUCGCAACCCCUAUUACCAGCCUGUUCAACCUCUCUUUCAUAUCGUCUGAGAUCCCCAAGGAUUGGAAAGCUGCCGCAGUCAUCCCCCUCUUCAAAGGGGGAGACACCCUGGACCCAAACUGUUACAGACCUAUAUCCAUCCUGCCCUGCUUAUCUAAGGUCUUCGAAAGCCAAGUCAACAAACAGGUCACUGACCAUCUCGAAUCCCACCGUACCUUCUCCGCUGUGCAAUCUGGUUUCCGAGCCGGUCACGGGUGCACCUCAGCCACACUCAAGGUACUAAACGAUAUCAUAACCGCCAUCGAUAAAAGACAGUACUGUGCAGCCGUCUUCAUUGACCUUGCCAAGGCUUUCGACUCUGUCAAUCACCAUGUUCUUAUCGGCAGACUCAGUAGCCUUGGUUUUUCGGAUGACUGCCUUGCCUGGUUCACCAAUUACUUUGCAGACAGAGUUCAGUGUGUCAAAUCGGAGGGCAUGCUGUCCGGUCCUCUGGCAGUCUCUAUGGGGGUGCCACAGGGUUCAAUUCUCGGGCCUUCUCUGUAUAUAUCAAUGAUGUUGCUCUUGCUGCGGGCGAUUCCCUGAUCCACCUCUACGCAGACGACACCAUUCUAUAUACUUUCGGCCCGUCAUUGGACACUGUGCUAUCUAACCUCCAAACAAGCUUCAAUGCCAUACAACACUCCUUCCGUGGCCUCCAACUGCUCUUAAACGCUAGUAAAACCAAAUGCAUGCUUUUCAACCGAUCGCUGCCUGCACCCGCAUGCCCGACUAGCAUCACCACCCUGGAUGGUUCCGACCUUGAAUAUGUGGACAUCUAUAAGUACCUAGGUGUCUGGCUAGACUGCAAACUCUCCUUCCAGACUCAUAUCAAACAUCUCCAAUCGAAAAUCAAAUCAAGAGUCGGCUUUCUAUUCCGCAACAAAGCCUCCUUCACUCACGCCGCCAAGCUUACCCUAGUAAAACUGACUAUCCUACCGAUCCUCGACUUCGGCGAUGUCAUCUACAAAAUGGCUUCCAACACUCUACUCAGCAAACUGGAUGCAGUCUAUCACAGUGCCAUCCGUUUUGUCACUAAAGCACUUUAUACCACCCACCACUGCGACUUGUAUGCUCUAGUCGGCUGGCCCUCGUUACAUAUUCGUCGCCAGACCCACUGGCUCCAGGUCAUCUACAAGUCCAUGCUAGGUAAAGCUCCGCCUUAUCUCAGUUCACUGGUCACGAUGGCAACACCCAUCCGUAGCACGCGCUCCAGCAGGUGUAUCUCACUGAUCAUCCCUAAAGCCAACACCUCAUUUGGCCGCCUUUCGUUCCAGUACUCUGCUGCCUGUGACUGGAACGAAUUGCAAAAAUCGCUGAAGUUGGAGACUUUUAUCUCCCUCACCAACUUCAAACAUUAGCUAUCUGAGCAGCUAACCGAUCGCUGCAGCUGUACAUAGUCUAUUGGUAAAUAGCCCACCCAUUUUCACCUACCUCAUCCCCAUACUGUUUCUAUUUAUUUACUUUUCUGCUCUUUUGCACACCAAUAUCUCUACCUGUACAUGACCAUCUGAUCAUUUAUCACUCCAGUGUUAAUCUGCAAAAUUGUAAUUAUUCGCCUACCUCCUCAUGCCUUUUGCACACAAUGUAUAUAGACUCUCUUUUUUUCUACUGUGUUAUUGACUUGUUAAUUGUUUAUUCCAUGUGUAACUCUGUGUUGUCUGCUCACACUGCUAUGCUUUAUCUUGGCCAGGUCGCAGUUGCAAAUGAGAACUUGUUCUCAACUAGCCUACCUGGUUAAAUAAAGGUGAAAUAAAAAAAAAUAAAAAAGGGAGCAACUCAGUGAUUUUCCUACGGAACACAACAACACUUCAGUUUGUCUGUAAAAGGAACGGAGGCUAAAACUUGCCCAUCUAAAUACAGUCAAGGAAUUACACCAAGCUGUUACCGACGGGUGUAACCAUGCCUUGAGUAGGAUCGCAGACCUCAGUGCUAAGUCCAAAGAGUACAGAACAGGCCCUCACAUGGAGGAAACAGCAGCCGCUAUACCAGAUGUCAUUGAAGAACUACAGUUCGUCUUUGAUGCCGUAGAGUUUCAAAACCAAACAGCUAUGUUGAUCAUGAACACCUUGGAACGUGAUAUCACCAACUGUCAACAACGGAUGGAGCCAACAGUGGAAACUCAUUCUACUCUGUUCACAACCAGACAGGAGAAAAUGGAGGAAACCAACGUAACUAAACACUGGGUCAUUUGGUUGAAUACAAGGUGGUUUGGUUUAUGUUGUACUCACUGUAUUUGACUUUAGUAUCACUGUUAUUCCUAAUACAGAGCAUUUAGCUGGAAUUGUGGAUUUUAUCUCUUGAGACCAUGUACAAUUCUGAUUCCCCUGAAAUGUUGACUUGCCACUUGUUUUAACGUCAGGUAGGCUGAGUGCUUGAAACUAAAAAUGUUUUGAUUUCAAACAUGCCCAUUGGCAUUUGUUUUCAGAGUGGUACUGUAUAUUGGUAACAAACACAAGAGAAAGUCUGAAAG
ensembl:lncRNA